rnacentral:rRNA from 1 species
UAGGGAAUCUUCGGCAAUGGGGGGAACCCUGACCGAGCAACGCCGCGUGAGUGAAGAAGGUUUUCGGAUCGUAAAGCUCUGUUGUUAAGGAAGAACGAGUGUGAGAAUGGAAAGUUCAUGCUGUGACGGUACUUAACCAGAAAGGGACGGCUAACUACGUGCCAGCAGCCGCGGUAAUACGUAGGUCCCGAGCGUUGUCCGGAUUUAUUGGGCGUAAAGCGAGCGCAGGCGGGUAGAAAAGUCUGAAGUGAAAGGCAGUGGCUCAACCAUUGUAGGCUUUGGAAACUGUUUAACUUGAGUGCAGAAGGGGAGAGUGGAAUUCCAUGUGUAGCGGUGAAUUGCGUAGUUAUAUGGAGGAACACCGGUGGCGAAAGAGGCUCUCUGGUCUGUAACUGACGCUGAGGCUCGAAAGCGUGGGGAGCGAACAGG